rnacentral:rRNA from 1 species
CCUACGGGAGGCAGCAGUGGGGAAUAUUGCACAAUGGGGGAAACCCUGAUGCAGCGACGCCGCGUGAGUGAAGAAGUAAUUCGUUACGUAAAGCUCUAUCAGCAGGGAAGAAAAUGACGGUACCUGAGUAAGAAGCCCCGGCUAACUACGUGCCAGCAGCCGCGGUAAUACGUAGGGGGCAAGCUUUAACCGGAUUUACUGGGUGGAAGGGGAGCGUAGACGGUGCGCCAAGUCUGGAGUGAGAGGCGGGGGCGCAAACCCCGGACUGAGCGGGACACUGUACGGUUGGAUUGCAGGAGAGGGAAGUGGAAUUCCUAGUGUAGCGGUGAAAUGCGUAGAUAUUAGGAGGAACACCAGUGGCGAAGGCGGCUUACUGGACUGUAACUGACGUUGAGGCUCGAAAGCGUGGGGAGCAAACAGGAUUAGAUACCCUGGUAGUC